ACAUGAAGCCGGAAUCGCUAGUAAUCGUGGAUCAGCAUGCCACGGUGAAUACGUUCCCGGGCCGUGUACACACCGCCCGUCACACCACGAGAGUUUGUAACACCCGAGGUCGGUAGGGUAACCUUUAGGGAGCCAGCCGCGGAAGGUGGGACAGAUAAUGGGGGUGAAGUCGUAACAAGGUAGCCGUAUCGGAAGGUGCGGCUGGAUCACCUCCUUUCUAAGGAA
rnacentral:rRNA from 1 species